rnacentral:rRNA from 1 species
GAUAAACGCUGGCGGCGUGCCUUAUGCAUGCAAGUCGAACGAUCCUUCCCGCAAGGGAAGGGCAGUGGCAAACGGGUGAGUAAUACGUAGGUAACCUGUCCCUAAGCGGGGGAUAACUCCGGGAAACUGGGGCUAAUACCGCAUGUGGUUAUUUAUCGCAAGGUUGAUAACUAAAGUCGUAAGACUCUUGGGGAGGGGCCUGCGUCUGAUUAGCUAGUUGGUGGGGUAAAGGCCUACCAAGGCGAUGAUCGGUAGCUGGUCUGAGAGGAUAUCCAGCCACACGGGGACUGAGACACGGCCCCGACUCCUACGGGAGGCAGCAGCAAGGAAUUUUGCGCAAUGGGCGAAAGCCUGACGCAGCGACGCCGCGUGUGGGAUGAACGCCUUCGGGUCGUAAACCACUUUUCUCAGGGAGGAAUAAAUGACAGUACCUGGGGAAUAAGUCACGGCUAACUACGUGCCAGCAGCCGCCGUAAAAC